CUCUGUGACUCCUACGGGAGGCAGCAGUGGGGAAUAUUGCACAAUGGGGGAAACCCUGAUGCAGCCAUGCCGCGUGUGUGAAGAAGGCCUUCGGGUUGUAAAGCACUUUCAGUAGGGAGGAAGGUAGUGUAGUUAACACCUGCACUAUUUGACGUUACCUACAGAAGAAGCACCGGCUAACUCCGUGCCAGCAGCCGCGGUAAUACGGAGGGUGCGAGCGUUAAUCGGAAUUACUGGGCGUAAAGCGCAUGCAGGCGGCCUGUUAAGUCAGAUGUGAAAGCCCGGGGCUUAACCUCGGAAUUGCAUUUGAAACUGGCAGGCUAGAGUCUUGUAGAGGGGGUAGAAUUUCAGGUGUAGCGGUGAAAUGCGUAGAGAUCUGAAGGAAUACCAGUGGCGAAGGCGGCCCCCUGGACAAAGACUGACGCUCAGAUGCGAAAGCGUGGGGAGCAAACAGGAUUAGAUACCCUGGUG
rnacentral:rRNA from 1 species